GCCUCCGUAGCUCAGCCGGCCAGAGCGCUGCUCUCGUAAAGCAGAGGUCGCGCGUUCGACUCGCGCCGGGGGCU
rnacentral:tRNA from 1 species